rnacentral:rRNA from 1 species
GACGAACCGUGCGAACGUUAUUCGGAAUCACUGGGCUUAAAGCGCGUGUAGGCGGGACGGCACGUCGGUCGCUGAAAUCCCCCGGCUCAACCGGGGAACGGGCGCCGAUACGACCGCCCUGGAGGGACGUAGGGGGACCUGGAACUUCCGGUGGAGCGGUGAAAUGCGUUGAGAUCGGAAGGAACGCCCGUGGCGAAAGCGAGGUCCUGGACGUUUACUGACGCUGAGACGGCGAAAGCCAGGGGAGCGAACGGG